GCCGCUUUAGUUCAAUGGUAGAACGCAAGCAUGGUAAGCUUGAGAUGAGAGUUCAAUUCUCUCAAGUGGCU
rnacentral:tRNA from 2 species